UCCCUGGUGGUCUAGUGGCUAGGAUUCGGGGCUCUCACCCCCGCGGACUGGGUUCGAUUCCUGGUCAGGGAA